GAAACCGAGUCUUAACCGGGCGUUAAGUUGCAGGGUAUAGACCCGAAACCCGGUGAUCUAGCCAUGGGCAGGUUGAAGGUUGGGUAACACUAACUGGAGGACCGAACCGACUAAUGUUGAAAAAUUAGCGGAUGACCUGUGGCUGGGGGUGAAAGGCCAAUCAAACCGGGAGAUAGCUGGUUCUCCCCGAAAGCUAUUUAGGUAGCGCCUCGUGAAUUCAUCUCCGGGGGUAGAGCACUGUUUCGGCUAGGGGGCCAUCCCGGCUUACCAACCCGAUGCAAACUGCGAAUACCGGAGAAUGUUAUCACGGGAGACACACGGCGGGUGCUAACGUCCGUCGUGAAGAGGGAAACAACCCAGACCGCCAGCUAAGGUCCCAAAGUCAUGGUUAAGUGGGAAACGAUGUGGGAAGGCCCAGACAGCCAGGAUGUUGGCUUAGAAGCAGCCAUCAUUUAAAGAAAGCGUAAUAGCUCACUGGUCGAGUCGGCCUGCGCGGAAGAUGUAACGGGGCUAAACCAUGCACCGAAGCUGCGGCAGCGACGCUGAUGCGUUGUUGGGUAGGGGAGCGUUCUGUAAGCCUGCGAAGGUGGCCUGUGAGGGUUGCUGGAGGUAUCAGAAGUGCGAAUGCUGACAUAAGUAACGAUAAAGCGGGUGAAAAGCCCGCUCGCCGGAAGACCAAGGGUUCCUGUCCAACGUUAAUCGGGGCAGGGUGAGUCGACCCCUAAGGCGAGGCCGAAAGGCGUAGUCGAUGGGAAACGGGUUAAUAUUCCCGUACUUGGUGUUACUGCGAAGGGGGGACGGAGAAGGCUAUGUUGGCCGGGCGACGGUUGUCCCGGUUUAAGCGUGUAGGUGUGUGUUCCAGGUAAAUCCGGUUCACUUUAACACUGAGGCGUGAUGACGAGGCGCUACGGUGCUGAAGCAACAAAUGCCCUGCUUCCAGGAAAAGCCUCUAAGCAUCAGGUAACAUCAAAUCGUACCCCAAACCGACACAGGUGGUCAGGUAGAGAAUACCAAGGCGCUUGAGAGAACUCGGGUGAAGGAACUAGGCAAAAUGGUGCCGUAACUUCGGGAGAAGGCACGCUGACACGUAGGUGAAGUGAUUUACUCAUGGAGCUGAAGUCAGUCGAAGAUACCAGCUGGCUGCAACUGUUUAUUAAAAACACAGCACUGUGCAAACACGAAAGUGGACGUAUACGGUGUGACGCCUGCCCGGUGCCGGAAGGUUAAUUGAUGGGGUCAGCGCAAGCGAAGCUCCUGAUCGAAGCCCCGGUAAACGGCGGCCGUAACUAUAACGGUCCUAAGGUAGCGAAAUUCCUUGUCGGGUAAGUUCCGACCUGCACGAAUGGCGUAAUGAUGGCCAGGCUGUCUCCACCCGAGACUCAGUGAAAUUGAACUCGCUGUGAAGAUGCAGUGUACCCGCGGCAAGACGGAAAGACCCCGUGAACCUUUACUAUAGCUUGACACUGAACAUUGAGCCUUGAUGUGUAGGAUAGGUGGGAGGCUUUGAAGUGUGGACGCCAGUCUGCAUGGAGCCGACCUUGAAAUACCACCCUUUAAUGUUUGAUGUUCUAACGUGGACCCGUGAUCCGGGUUGCGGACAGUGUCUGGUGGGUAGUUUGACUGGGGCGGUCUCCUCCUAAAGAGUAACGGAGGAGCACGAAGGUUGGCUAAUCCUGGUCGGACAUCAGGAGGUUAGUGCAAUGGCAUAAGCCAGCUUGACUGCGAGCGUGACGGCGCGAGCAGGUGCGAAAGCAGGUCAUAGUGAUCCGGUGGUUCUGAAUGGAAGGGCCAUCGCUCAACGGAUAAAAGGUACUCCGGGGAUAACAGGCUGAUACCGCCCAAGAGUUCAUAUCGACGGCGGUGUUUGGCACCUCGAUGUCGGCUCAUCACAUCCUGGGGCUGAAGUAGGUCCCAAGGGUAUGGCUGUUCGCCAUUUAAAGUGGUACGCGAGCUGGGUUUAGAACGUCGUGAGACAGUUCGGUCCCUAUCUGCCGUGGGCGCUGGAGAACUGAGGGGGGCUGCUCCUAGUACGAGAGGACCGGAGUGGACGCAUCACUGGUGUUCGGGUUGUCAUGCCAAUGGCACUGCCCGGUAGCUAAAUGCGGAAGAGAUAAGUGCUGAAAGCAUCUAAGCACGAAACUUGCCCCGAGAUGAGUUCUCCCUGAGACUUUAGGUCUCCUGAAGGAACGUUGAAGACGACGACGUUGAUAGGCCGGGUGUGUAAGCGCAGCGAUGCGUUGAGCUAACCGGUACUAAUGAACCGUGAGGCUUAACCUU
rnacentral:rRNA from 1 species